rnacentral:tRNA from 1 species
UAGAGCAGAGGAUUGAAAAUCCUCGUGUCGGUGGUUCGAUUCCGCCUCGAGGCA